CCUACGGGAGGCAGCAGUGAGGAAUAUUGGUCAAUGGGCGCGAGCCUGAACCAGCCAAGUAGCGUGAAGGAUGACUGCCCUACGGGUUGUAAACUUCUUUUAUAAAGGAAUAAAGUGAGGCACGUGUGCCUUUUUGUAUGUACUUUAUGAAUAAGGAUCGGCUACCUCCGUGCCAGCAGCCGCGGUCAUACGGAGGAUCCGAGCGUUCUCCGGAUUUAUUGGGUUUAAAGGGAGCGUAGAUGGGGUGUUAAGUCAGUUGUGAAAGUUUGCGGGUCAACCGUAAAAUUGCAAUUUAUACUGGGAGUCUUGAGGACAGUUGAGGGAGGCGGAAUUCGGGGUGUAGCGGGGAAA
rnacentral:rRNA from 1 species